UACGUGACAUUGCUUCUAAUCUAAUAAGUGGGGCUAAAAUGCGGUUAUGAGUUUGUCAAAUUUUUGGCUAACCUUUUCAUAUUACACAUUAAUGGAAUGACACAACCUUCCAUAACCCAUUUUAGUGGUGGAUAUAUAAAAGAAUCCCUACAAACUCCAUCAUUCACCAGAUUUUCUUAUUCAAAUACUAGAACAUAAUAAGCUUCCAGUACGUUCAAGUGAGUCAUGGCUACCAUUACUAUUUAUUGCAAGGAAAGAAACUCGACAAAGACGGAGAGGAAAGCUUCUGAGAAUAUAGGUUUUUGAGGUGGCAUCAAUACCAGAGAAGAGAGUGGGAAUGGUAUUCAUAUUUUGGCAUCCAAUCUAAAGGUUAAAUCGUGAGUUAAAUUUAAAUUCCUUAUUGUUUUCUAUGUGUUCUGUUUUUUCUCUUUUGCACCUCCUCUCUGCACCAGAUAUAGGUAAUCAAUCAUGUGAUUUUUUUUUUUUUUUGCAUCUUACUGACACUGCUACUGAAAUUUUCAUCCCACUCUGGUGAUUUACGGUGAGUCAUUUCUUUACAAAAUAUUUUGCUACUUAUUGAUCAUAGUUUUUCUUUGUCCGGAAAAGAUGUAGGUAUCUGGUAUUAUUUCUCACGUACUUGAAGAUUUUCAUCGACUUCUGAAUUUGUUGGAUUGAGCUAAUUGAAUUUAGAUAUGGUGUUAGUACGAUUUGAUACACGACAUUUCUCCCUUAUUUGAAUUGAUUAUUAAACUUAAUUUAAUUUUAAAAAGUUUAAAAUGUGACAAGUUAAGAAGAUGUCACAGGAAAUUUGAAAUAAUUACUUUAGGAAUUACUUACUCUUUUCAUUUUAUAUGAUAGAAUUUACCUGUAUAUAGUUUAAUGUUACUUUUCUUUGGAUUGUAAGUGCAAUAAUAUAGAACUUGAAGGGAGCUGAUCGGGCUUAUGGAUGCCGAUUCUACAUCAAUUGUUCUCGUGAUUGUAGUUUGAAAAAAUUAUAAAUCAUUUUUUUCUCUAAUUUAAAUACGGACAGGUCCCAUUUGAAGAAUCGAGAUAGCGGUGGUGUUGAUUUGUAUCAAGAACAAGUUAACGAGAAAUAGUGUAUAUGCACGUAUUAUACAUAUUUUGGACACUAGCUAAUAAUGGGGUUCAGAUUUGUGCAUUAUUAUAUAGUUUACGAUAGUGCUUUAAAAAUGGAUUUCACAAUCUAAUUAAUUGAAUUGUUCGGUGCCUGCAGUGUAUUUGUUGGAAGUACUCAAUUUUUAAAAAGAUGUUAUGCCAAAUUAUUUUGUUUUGAGAAGCUAAGUAAAUUGGUGAUCAAGUUAUAUGGGAGCUAAUUACCGGUUAAAACAUCAGAGUUUAAAGGUGCAUGAGGCAUUAGUGUGUUACGUUCCCGUAUUAAUUUUUAAAAUAAUUGCAACAGCUUAGACGAGAUUUACUUUAUUUUUAGUAUUUAUUGCAAUAUUUUUUUGUAUAUUUGGUAUCUAAAUUAGAUAGAGAAGACGUGUUUCAUUACAA